rnacentral:lncRNA from 1 species
UAUUAACCUCGUAUUGUUUUCCAUUUGUGUACAUUUUCUAAAAGCACAGACCAUACACUCACAUUGCUAGGCCCUGAAGGGCCCUGUCCAAAUGAGGAGCCUGAGGCUUAGCUCCUACCAGCUCUGUGGUAAACACUUGACUGUGUUUUAGAGCCCGGCAGAGGGCUUUGAAUCCUCACUGUGCCGCUAGGCAGCUAUGCAGCCAUGAAGGAAGUGAACACUGGUUCUCCUGAGCAGCCCGUUCUGCAACUCUACAUUAGAAAUGAUGUCUGUCUUUCACUGGGGUGCAUGAGGAUUGAGGAAAUGUGCAUAAGAGGCUUAGCCUGACACACAAGGGUGUCCACUGUGAGUGGCAGCACAGGCUCACUUUUCAGGGACACAGUCAGUCCCUGCCAGCGCUUGCACAGCUGGUGAAGAUGGACCAGAGUCUUGGCCUGGCCUAACUCUUGCAAGACUUCUUGCAAGAUCAGUGCCCUGCCUGAGUGCCCUGAUGCCAGCUCCACAGGAGGACCUCUGGUGGCCAAGAACAGGAGGAAAGAAAGGAGAGAGAAGCAGUGGCCACACACAGCAGGACCUUACGGACUCCAGCUGACCAGGAGUCCAUGAUGCAGGGUGGCAGAGCUGACACUGCCCAUCAUGUUGGCCUCUUUCAACAUGAUGCUACUGAAGUGUUACCGUUCAUCCUGCCCAUCUCCAAAGCUCCAUGACUGCUUGUCCCAGGCUCCAGGUCUCUCCCAGAUCUGCAUGCAGUUGGAACUUGUUUCAUAUCUUCAAUAUUCAUCAGAAGGUCAAAAGACAUGAUUACAAGAGUGAGAAGGUGAACCUCAGAGUACGAGAAGACACUGGCCACAUGAAUCACCAAGACUUUUAUCCAGAACUGAUAAAGAACUCCAAAACAACAACAACAAAAAAUAUUGGCUGACAUCGCUAAUCCAAAAAUCCAAAAUUCAAAAUGCUCCAAAAUCUAAAACUAUCUGAGAGCCUAUUUGAUGCCCCAAGUGGAAAAUUCCACACCAGGAAACUUUAUUUCAUGCACAAAAUUAUUCAAAAUACUGUAUAGAAUCACCUCCAGUGUAUGUGUGUAAGGUAUGGAUGAAACUUAAAAGAAUCCCAUGUUUAGACUUGGAUCUCAUCCCCAAGAUAUCUCAUUAUGUACAUGCAAAUAUUCCAAAAUCCAAAGAAAUAUCCAAAAUCUGAAACACUUCUGGUCCCAAGCAUUUCAAAUAAGGGCUACUCAACCUGUGCAACCAGAUGGAAAAAUAGCAAAGACAAAAAUAAAAUCCUACAAAACAAACUGUCCAAAAGAACAUGGCCAUUCAAUGUAUAAAAGGGUGCUCAAUUUUCAUUGCAAGAAAUGCAAAUAAACCCAUGUUACAAUGCCAAUAGGCACGCA